rnacentral:rRNA from 1 species
CCCUUAGAUGUCCGGGGCUGCACGCGCGCUACACUGAAGGAAUCAGCGUGCUAAAACCAUUGUCGAAAGGCAUUGGUAAACCCAUUAAAAUCCUACGUGAUUGGGAUCGGGAAUUGCAAUUAUUUCCCUUGAACGAGGAAUUCCCAGUAAGUGUGGGUCAUAAGCUCGCGUUGAUUACGUCCCUGCCCUUUGUACACACCGCCCGUCGCUGCCCGGGACUGAGCCGUUUCGAGAAAAGCGGGGACUGCUGCUGGCGGGGCUUUCGGGCCUUGGCUUCGGUGGAAACCGCUUUAAUCGCAGUGGCUUGAACCGGGCAAAAGUCGUAACA